UACGUAGGGUGCGAGCGUUGUCCGGAAUUAUUGGGCGUAAAGAGCUUGUAGGCGGUUUGUCGCGUCUGCUGUGAAAACUCGGGGCUUAACCCUGGGCCUGCAGUGGGUACGGGCAGACUAGAGUGCGGUAGGGGAGACUGGAAUUCCUGGUGUAGCGGUGAAAUGCGCAGAUAUCAGGAGGAACACCGGUGGCGAAGGCGGGUCUCUGGGCCGUAACUGACGCUGAGGAGCGAAAGCGUGGGGAGCGAACAGG
rnacentral:rRNA from 1 species